UACAGAGGUCUCAAGCGUUUGUUCGGAUUCAUUGGGCGUAAAGGGUGCGUAGGUGGCGCCGUAAGUCAGGUGUGAAAUUUCGGAGCUUAACUCCGAAACUGCAUUUGAUACUGCGGUGCUUGAGGACUGGAGAGGAGACUGGAAUUCACGGUGUAGCAGUGAAAUGCGUAGAUAUCGGAAGGAACACCUGUGGCGAAAGCGGCUCACUGGACCACAACUGACGCUGAUGCACGAAAGCUAGGGGGAGCAAACAGG
rnacentral:rRNA from 1 species